ACGGGAGGCAGCAGUGGGGAAUAUUGGACAAUGGGGGAAACCCUGAUCCAGCGACGCCGCGUGAGUGAAGAAGUAUUUCGGUAUGUAAAGCUCUAUCAGCAAGGAAGAAAAUGACGGUACUUGACUAAGAAGCUCCGGCUAAAUACGUGCCAGCAGCCGCGGUAAUACGUAUGGAGCAAGCGUUAUCCGGAUUUACUGGGUGUAAAGGGAGCGUAGACGGAAUUGCAAGUCUGAUGUGAAAGGCAUGGGCUCAACCUGUGGACUGCAUUGGAAACUGUGAUUCUUGAGUGCCGGAGGGGUAAGCGGAAUUCCUGGUGUAGCGGUGAAAUGCGUAGAUAUCAGGAGGAACACCGGUGGCGAAGGCGGCUUACUGGACGGCAACUGACGUUGAGGCUCGAAGGCGUGGGGAGCAAACAGGAUUAGAUACCCUGGUA
rnacentral:rRNA from 1 species